rnacentral:rRNA from 1 species
GACGAACGCUGACGGCGUGCUUAACACAUGCAAGUCGAAGGGAGUGGCGAACGGGUGAGUAACAUGUGAAUAACCUGCCCUUUUCUUUGGGAUAAGCCUGGGAAAAGGGGUCAAAUACGGGAUUGAUUGGGAUGGGGUGGCGGCUUAUCAGGUUGUUGGUGGGGUGAUGGCUGACCAAGGCGUUGGCGGGUAGCCGGGCUGAGAGGGUGAUCGGGCACACUGGGACUGCGAUACGGCCCAGACUCCUACGGGAGGCAGCAGUGGGGGAUAUUGCACAAUGGAUGAAAGUCUGAUGCAGCGACGUCGUGUGGGGGAUGAAGGCUUUCGGGUUGUAAACUUCUUUCGCCAGCGGAAGGGUAGUGGGUGAAGAAGCGCCGGCUAACUACGUGCCAGCAGCCGCGGUAAUUC